rnacentral:misc_RNA from 1 species
GAAAGGGGGGGCAACCCCCCGAGUAGAGCGGUUUUCGGGUGAGUAAAGAAAGAGUAACCUGCCCCCGGGCGGGGGAUAACUACUCGAAAGGGUGGCUAAUACCGCAUGAGACCACGGGGUCUUCGGACCCUGAGGCCAAAGAUGGCAUCGGCUUGCCGGUGCUGUCACCUGGGGAUGGGCCCGCGUACGAUUAGCUAGUUGGUGAGGUAACGGCUCACCAAGGCUACGAUCGUUAGCUGGUCUGAGAGGAUGGCCAGCCACACUGGAACUGAAACACGGUCCAGACUCCUACGGGAGGCAGCAGUGGG